ACUUAGCCCAUACUCCCUUCGUUUCCGUGUACAACUUUGAUUAUCUGUUUUAUUUAAAAAAAUUAUGUUUAGUAUUUUUAUUGUUAUUAAAUGAUAAAACAAGAAUAGUACUUUAUGCGUGACUUAUGUUUUUUAAUUUUUUUUAAAAAAAUUCAAAUAAGACGGAUAAUUAAAAUUAGACACGAAAACUCAUGGCUAUACUUAAA
rfam:Oryza punctata chromosome 5, whole genome shotgun sequence.